UACGUAGGUGGCAAGCGUUGUCCGGAUUUAUUGGGCGUAAAGCGAGCGCAGGCGGUUUCUUAAGUCUGAUGUGAAAGCCCCCGGCUCAACCGGGGAGGGUCUUGGAAACUGGGAGACUUGAGUGCAGAAGAGGAGAGUGGAAUUCCAUGUGUAGCGGUGAAAUGCGUAGAUAUAUGGAGGAACACCAGUGGCGAAGGCGGCUCUCUGGUCUGUAACUGACGCUGAGGCUCGAAAGCGUGGGGAGCGAACAGGG
rnacentral:rRNA from 1 species